rnacentral:rRNA from 1 species
AGUCGAACGAAAAGCAAAUCUUCGGAUUUGUGGAAAGUGGCGAACGGGUGCGUAACACGUGAGCAACCUGCCCUAAAGUGCGGAACAGCCUGUCGAAAGAUGGAUUAAUGCCGCAUGUGGCUCUUCUUCGCAUGAAGAAGUAGCUAAAGCUUGUAAUGGCGCUUUAGGAUGGGCUCGCGGCCUAUCAGCUUGUUGGUAAGGUAAUGGCUUACCAAGGCUAAGACGGGUAGCUGGUCUGAGAGGAUGAUCAGCCACACCGGGACUGAGACACGGCCCGGACACCUACGGGUGGCAGCAGUUUCGAAUCAUUCACAAUGGGCGAAAGCCUGAUGAUGCAAUGCCGCGUGGAGGAUGAAGGCCUUAGGGUCGUAAACUCCUGUCAUUGGGGAGCAACAAAUAGGUUCAUAGCCUAUCAUGAGUUAACCCAAAGAGGAAGAGGCGGCUAACUCCGUGCCAGCAGCCGCGGUAAUACGGAGACCUCGAGCGUUACUCGGAUUCACUGGGCGUAAAGGGUGAGUAGGUGGCCAAGUAUGUCAGGUGUGAAAUCCCGGGGCUUAACCCCGGAACUGCGCCUGAAACUACUUGGCUAGAGUCUCGGAGAGGAUAGUGGAAUUCCAAGUGUAGCGGUGAAAUGCGUAGAUAUUUGGAGGAACACCAGUGGCGAAGGCGACUAUCUGGACGAGUACUGACGCUCAAUCACGAAAGCGUGGGUAGCGAAAGGGAUUAGAUACCCCUGUAGUCCACGCCGUAAACGUUGCACACUAAGUUUCGGAGGAUUCGACCCCUUCGGAGCUCAAGCUAACGCGUUAAGUGUGCCGCCUGAGGACUACG